rnacentral:rRNA from 1 species
AGAGUUGAUCAUGGCUCAGGAUGAACGCUAGCGACAGGCUAACACAUGCAAGUCGAGGGCAGCAUAAAAGUAGCAAUACGUUGGUGGCGACCGGCGCACGGGUGAGUAACGCGUAUGCAACCUACCGUAUCAGAGGGGAAUAACCCGGCGAAAGUCGGACUAAUACCGCAUAAAACAGGGGCACCGCAUGGUGAUAUUUGUUAAAGAAAUUCGCUGAUAGAUGGGCAUGCGUUCCAUUAGGUAGUUGGUGAGGUAACGGCUCACCAAGCCGACGAUGGAUAGGGGAACUGAGAGGUUGGUCCCCCACACUGGUACUGAGACACGGACCAGACUCCUACGGGAGGCAGCAGUGAGGAAUAUUGGUCAAUGGGCGGGAGCCUGAACCAGCCAAGUCGCGUGAAAGGAAGAAGGAUCUAUGGUUCGUAAACUUCUUUUGCAGGGGAAUAAAGUGCAGGACGUGUCCUGUUUUGUAUGUACCCUGAGAAUAAGGAUCGGCUAACUCCGUGCCAGCCGCAGC